UCUCCGUUGGUGAACCAGCGGAGGGAUCAUUACAGGACUCGCAAGACUCCUACAACCCUGUGAACUUAACUACAAGCACGUUGCUUCGGCGGGUGUCUCGGCGCGGGUUCUCCCGCUCCGGGGCGCUAAGCCCGCCGGCAGCCUACUAUACUCUGUCUCUUUGCGUUGGCAUCUCGAGUACAAACAAACAAGUUAAAACUUUCAACAACGGAUCUCUUGGUUCUGGCAUCGAUGAAGAACGCAGC
rnacentral:misc_RNA from 1 species